GUCACGAUCAGAAAAGCUUCAAUCCGGACUUGAUCUGGAAAGCGCUGGUUCGAGCCCAGCUCGUGUCA
rnacentral:tRNA from 3 species